GCUGGACAGGGUGGCUCACGCCUGUAAUCCCAGCACUUUGGGAUGCUGAAGUGGGUGAAUCACGAGGUCAGGAGUUCGAGGCCAGCCUGGCCAACAUGAUUAAACCCUGUCUCUACUAAAAAUACNNNNNNNNNNGUAUUUUUAGUAGAGACAGGGUUUAAUCAUGUUGGCCAGGCUGGCCUCGAACUCCUGACCUCGUGAUUCACCCACUUCAG
rfam:Gorilla gorilla gorilla genomic chromosome, chr8, whole genome shotgun sequence